UUGACAAAGCAGCCCACCAAUACCAUAUUAAGUGGCUCUGUUUGGGUUCCGAGUUGAUAUAUAGAUACUUGUGGGAGCAAAAUAGGUUUAUGCGAAUAUUGGUGGAGUGUCAGUAUCUCCUCAUUCCCGUUCUAUCUGUUAUUCUCACCCCCCUUUUUUAGUCUACGCUUCUCAUCUCCCUUCUAUCCUUUGUUACAAUUCCUUGUUAUCCUUUCAACUACCUUGUUGAUCUUUAGCUUUCCAUUGUAAUAGUUAGUUUGAGCAUUCAAUCAAAGGAAUUGAUUCCUUGUAGUUGAGCAUUUAAGUGUUCACUUCAGAAGAUCUAUCAAGAAUGGUUCAGUUUCGCUAAUUCAGGUAAUAUAUUCUCUCAUUUUUAUGUGUUAUUCAAAUAAGAGAACAAAGGAAUUUUGAAUAAUGGGGUUAUUGGGUACAGAUGUAGAUGAAAGCCUCACUGGAGGAGAUGCCACCAAGCUAUUUGCCAUGUCCAAUUUGCCUCGUCAAGAGCUCAAGCAGGUUCUUUUCUUUUCUACUUCCUUUAUUUCCUUAAUAUCGUUCACUUGUACCCAAUAACCCCAUUAUUCGAGUGAGCCGUUAUUUUCUUAGAUAGUGUAUAUAUGGUCAAAAUUAAUUUAUUAUAUGGCAGAUCUUGAAUCCUCUUGACUCCUUCGUAUGCUUGCAUCUUUAUAUUUUGAAUCUCCCUAUUGAAAAUCCUGUCUCCGCCAUUGCAUGCACCUGUCUAGAAACCUUGUUUUAAUGUUUGUCAAUGCUUUGGCAAGAGCUCAAGUGCAGUAUGUGCUUUGUCUCAAGUUUGUAACACCGACAGCCAAUUAAAUAAUUUGAAAAAAAUGAAUAUAACUUAAAUAAUAUGGUGAAACUGGCUGCUGGGUGAAAAUAACACCUUCUUUUAUACAUAUACCUUUGUGCAAUAUAUUUACAGAUAAACUGAUUUUAAACAAUUUUAGAAGUUCUCAAUCUCGCGUAACACACACAUAAUCAGGCUGUGAGCUGAAAAUCCUCUAGACUUUGCGUGGAACUAUAAUAAAAAUUCAUGUAGACUAUAGUAUUUUGAAUUUAGACAAUGUUAGCACUAGUUAAAAUGCAUGUUUUUAGCGGACUGUGCUACGCUCAUAUAGAAGACAAAACACAUGAAAGAUGUUCGAACAAGGUACGUACUAAAAAAUUCAUGAGGACUACAAAAUGAACAAUUUCCUUUAUUACAAUGGAUAGAUACAAAUAACAGAUAAAUUGAAAACCAAAGCUGAACUAGAGAGUCUUUGGAUAAUCAGCAAUCCCCUCAAAGGCAAAAUUCCCUUUCUUUUCAUCAUUACUGGGGAAGAUGGCAAUACUAAUUAACAAUACAGGGACAACAAAUUAAUAGGAAAAGAAAAGCUGCAAAAUUUAGAGCCGGGAUGAUCCAAUAGGAUGAUGUAUGACAAUGUUAUUGUAGGCAUCAAGAGUCAUAAAAUCAUCCAAAACUGGUGCAGUGCAUUGCCUUGUGAAUAACUUGCAAGCCACCUCGUACAUUCCCUUCUUGAAUUUCUCCUUUCCAACUUCUCUCUCAAUCCUAGCCAUUUCAUCCUCAACCACUCUUCCAAACAGGUCUAAGUUCACUUUCACCCCAAGUCCAUCCCCAUCCAAUUCCACACCAUAUUUCAGCCACUGCCAAUUCUGGACUCUGCUAAUCUCAGCUGCGGCAGCUUCCUCCAUGAAGUUGUAAAGAGGGACACAACCAAGGCCUGUCAGCCAGGCUGCCAAGUACUGAAUUCCCACUCGGGUGUUCAGCCGAAGGCACUCCAAGGUACAGACCCCUCUCGGCCUCUGCAGCAGGUCUUCUUCAUCUAGAAUGGAUGCAUCUUGGCGCUUCAUGGAAUGGAUUUGGUUUGGGGAAUUGCCCAUGUUGUUAGUGAAGACUUCCAUGCAUGCUGGAACUAGGCCAGGGUGAGUAACCCAUGUCCCAUCAUGCCCCGCCGUCACUUCUCUUAGCUUAUCCUUCCUUACAAGUUCCAAUGCUGCCUCAUUAGCUGCCGGAUCAUCUCUAAUUGGAAUAUGAGCUGCCUGUUUCAAGGAUCCAGCACAGCUAUUAUGCAUCAAUUUGAUCAUGUACAAGAAGAUUCCAAAUUAACCUAAUGCAGAAAUUGGAAAUUACUCCAGAUGUUGUUUUUUUCCAGAUAUUGUAAAACUAAUAAAAAAUAAAAAAUUGGUGUUGGGUUGAUAAUCACACGAGUAUCAAAGGAUGACAAUAUUGCAGCCAACACACUAACCGGCUUUGGAUCUUUCAUACAUAUCAACAACCACUAAAGUAUUUCCUAUUGUACUCCUACAUCGCUCCAAUGUGGGAACGAUCAUGUGCAUACUUUUUAAUAUCAUAACAUCCUACUAGCAUGCAAAUGUUUUCGUGUCCAUAUGUUUGGUAAUUUAUACAUUUUAUUUGAGUUCCUAAUAAAAAUAAUACAAAUAUGCUUGUGUAAAAUUAUUUAAAGAACAUAGAAUUAAAAAAAGAAACUGAAUUGAUGUAGACAUACCAUGCCUCCCAUAGCAUGGACUCCACGCUUAUGACAAGUGUGGAUGAGUAAGUCGGAGUAACUCCUCAUAAAGUGUUGAGCCAUGCCAACUUGUGUCCUAUCGGGGAGCAAUCGAUCAGGGUGACCCUGGAAUGUCUUGAUGUAGCUGAAAAUGUAAUCCCAUCUACCACAAUUGAGGCCAACAGAAUGGUCCCUCAGUUCAUACAAGAUUUCAUUCAUCUGAAACACAGCUGGAAGUGUUUCAAUUAGGGCAGUAGCCCUAAUGCUUCCUUUCUCAAUUCUAACCCAUUUCUCUGCCCUCUCAAACACAUUGUUCCAUAUCCUAGCUUCCCUGAUCAAACAAAACAAAAACUGCUACAUUUUCUUGGAAUAUAAUUCUCAAGACUAUAUAAAUUUACUAACAAGAACACAACUAACCUAGAAUGUUCCAUUUUGGGUAGAUAGAAAAAGGGUCCAGAUCCUUGACCUUGGGCCUUGCGGAAGUUGGCAUAGUUGUGGAAAAAGUAGAGGCCGAAGUCGACAAGGCAACCCGUGGCAGGCUCACCAUCAAUGAAAAUGUGAGCUUCUGGCAAGUGCCACCCUCUUGGGCGCACAAACAACUUAGCUGUCUGAUCAUUCAGUUUAUAUACUUUAUUUCUGGCUUGAUCAUGGAAUGUUAUUGUUCUAUUGACUGCAUCCCUCAAAUUUAUAUGGCCUCUCAUUAGAUUCUCCCAGCUUGGUGACAGUGCAUCUUCAAAGUCCGCCUGUGGAAUAUUAUAUUAUGAACUGCAUUGCAAUGAUAUGCAGAAAGAAAAACAAAAUGCACAUAUUCUGGAUAUGCUUCCACUCCAAAUUGAGGUUAAUUACUUACAUAAAGGUCUAGUGCUACCAUUAGUUUUGCUCAAUUAUUUCCUUCAAUGUAAUUCACACUGGCCUUUUUUUCGUUUUUCUUAGUUAUAUUAAAAUGAGAGUUCUUCUGUUCUACUAUUAACUUGGGAAGGGAGAUGCGACAGGGGAUAUGGCAUACCAUGAAAACUUUGGCUCUAGAAUUAAGGGCAUCGAUGACCAUCUUCCUAUCGACUGGUCCGGUAAUCUCCACCCUCCGAUCAGCCACAGCCUGCGGCACAGGAGCACACACCCACUCUCCUUCCCUAAUGUAUUUGGUUGUUGGAUCAAAACCCGGCAAACCGUCAUUAUUGUACCUCAUUUUGGCCUCUCUCCUGCACUCCACAGCAUACUUGAUAUGAUUCCUGAAUUCCCUCUGCAAACUAGCUACAAAUUGCAAAGCACCCCUAGUUAAAAUCUUGGAAAAUUCAGGAUCAUAUCUUCCCCUAAUGUCCACUCCUUCAGGUACAUCAUAACCUAUAAUUCCACUGCUCUUUUUUGGAACAGUGGUUUUGGGUUGAGUGAAUGUCUCUUCAAAGCUAGCCAUUUUUUCUUCUUUUUGGUAAUUUCAACUAACAGUUAAUGUACUUGUUUAUUUCUUUCUUUUUUUCUCUCUGAACAGUCUAGGUAGCUGAUGGCUGCAAUUUAUAGGGGGGAACAUGAGCUUUAGCUAGCGUUUCACUGUAAAUUUAAAAUUUAUUUUCAAAUAUCUGUUUAGCUAUGAAAUUUGAAGUCUAAUGUUAAGAUAUUUUCAAGUUAUUAAAAACUCGUUCAAAUUAGUCUUUAGAUUUUUGAGACUUCCCCUCACAAUUUAAAAAAAUUCAGUUGAAAUGCAUGUCCAAACACAAUUUAAAAAACUAAACUUUAAAAGUUUUAACUUCAAAAUUUAUGAUCAAACGGGAGCUUAACUUAAUGAAAUUUAUAAUAAUGUGGAUAGUUAAUGAUUGCAUGAUUUUCUUUCUUUUUUUUUAUUUUUGGUUCAAUAAAAGAAGAAUAAUAUGUGGAUAGCCAAAGAUUUCAUGAGUCCCCUUAUAAUAUAUUCAGCAAAGCUUAUCAAUAUGUGAUUGGUUGAAAGUCCCUUAUCUUUUUUUUUGUGUCCCCUUUAUUUAUUUGAUUUUAAUGUUUUGUCCCUUAGGAAAGCUUGAUGUAAUCGAUAAAGUUAUUGUCAUAUAAUCAGGAGGUAACAUAUUCAAUUUGUGGAAAUAGUCUCUUAUAAAAUAGUACAAGAUAAGACUACACACAAUAGAUAUUUACGAUCUGACCUUUUCCUAAACCAUAUUCAUAGCUAGACCUUGAAGGCACGGAUGAGUCAUUUUCAACUUUCAAAAGUCUUUUCCAAAUCCAAGGAGCCAAGUAGUAAAUUCGUCCAUCCCAGUGAGGGAUGCAGCUAGUCGAUAAUACAUUCAGAUCAUUCCAGUGCUUCGAGCAUAGAGUAUAUAGAAGAACAUGUGAUUCCAAUUAGUAGCAAAUUUACAUAUUAAAAAUGAGAUGCGUAAAUUUGCGUACUCUUUGUAAAAUUAGAUAUUUUAGGUAUGUAUUUUCUAAAAUUGAUAUAAAAUAUGUGUCUGCAUCUAAUAUCUAUGCUUUAAAAAAGCUAAUUGAUGCAUUUGGUUGAAUAUUGAGUUAUUUACACAGAGGACAAGCAAUCAAUUCCACUUGAUGCAUUUUUUCCGAGUUAAUAUCUCAGAUAGUCACUUAACUUUGAAUAAUUCACUUAUAAAGUCACUCAACUUUGAGUUAUGCACUUAGAAAGUCACUCAACUUUGUUUUAUAACUCAAAAGUCACUCAACUAUUAAUAUUCACUUUGAAAGUCAUCCAACAAAGUUAAAUAAUUUAUUCAUUAAAUUUUGUUGAAAUCUAAUUUUUAUUUUACACUGUUCUUUUAAGAAAUAAUAAGAUGUCUAUUUUAAUUAUCUUAUUAAUCCGCUCCAAUUAUUUAACUAAUUUUUUUUUUGAAAAACUUACAUUAGCAAUUGACGAAAAAAAUUGCUUUUCCAUUCUAGCAAUUGUCUUACAAGAAUUAAACAUGCUGGAAAAUUAUCCAAAAAAAGAAGAAGGUUAGAAUUGAUCAGAAGUAAUUAAAGAGUAAUCAAAAAGACGCACAAUAGCAAAAGGCAAUGUUUUAUUAUUUUUCAAGAAAAUAAUUUUAAAAAAAUUGUAUUCAACAAAAUUUAAUAAAAUAAUUAAAAUGAGUAUUUGUUUAUUUAUUUUUUUAAAAUUAGUUCAAAACAAAAAUUGUAUUUCAAUAAAAUUAAUGAAAAUAUUAUUUAAAUUAGUUGAGUGACUUUCUAAGUAAAAUAUCAAUAGUUGAGUGACUUUCUAAGUGAAAUGUCAAUAGUUGAAUGACUUUUGAGUUAUAUAAAACAAAGUUGAGUGACUUUCUAAGUAAACUACUCAAAGUUGAAUGAACUUCUAAGUAAACUAUUCAAAGUUAAGUGACCAUCUGAGAUAUUGUUUUCAUUUUUUCCUUUUUCUUUUAGUGGUGCACUUAUAUUCUAAAAAUUCUUAAUUCCUCUCUCGUUAUCCGAUUAUAAUAAGAAAAUAGGUCUGGAGACCAUAUAUAACAGAACACGUAAAUCAAAUUACAGUAAAAAAAAAAAAAAAAAACUUUGGAAACCAUAUAUAGAAGAAUACGUGAAUUCAAAUACAAUAAGAAGAAAGUCUGAAGAUUCAUAUUCUAAAAAUUCUAUAUUAGUCUUGAUUAUCCAAUAAGAAAAUAAGUUUGCUGGUACCAUAUACAGAAGACCAUGUGAACGGGGAUCAUAUGUAUGUCUUUUUUUUUCUUAAAUAUCGUGCUAAGUUAAAGAUUGUCACAUAAAAUAGGACGGAGGGAGUAAGAAAAUAAAGUCUUGGGGUGUGGGGUUGGGGAAGGGGACAUGACACUCCGAUUAUAGUAACAGAAAUAAUUCUUGUUGAGGAUUUAAAGAUAUAUAGAAGAACAUGGUGUACAAAGAAGAAGUACCCACAAAUGUGGCCCAUGAAUAUAUUAUGCCAGCUGCGAAGAAAUUUCCAGUCCACUAAAUUCACAAAUCUACAUGUGAUGGAGAGUGACAGCAACACAACCACACAAGAAACGAAACCGGACCUAUACACAACAACUACAAGGACGUAAAACUAUCUUUUACGUGUCAUAAAAGAUUGAUUCAUUCCUUAAAAAUACGAAUUUCCUUCAAACAAGUGGUAAGUUUUUUAUGAUAACAACUCGAUAUAUAUCAUCUAUUAACAAGAUAUUGUUAACGACUAAUUAUAAGUGUUCGGUUCUUCAAUUUAUAAUACGUGGAUAGCUAAUGAUUUCAUAGUUUUCUUUAAUAAUAUGUGGACUUUUUUUCUUUAUAAUAUGUGGAUAGCUAAUAAUAUCAUGAUUUUCUUUAUAAGAAUAUAAUUGGAAAAGCUUAUCGACAUGUACUUGAUAUGUACGUGCUUGGUACAAAAGACCAAAAGCUUAUCUAUCUAUGUGUGCUAGCUCUUUCAUUUGACCCUCUUUAUUUACUAUUUUAUUUUGAGGUUUUGUUGUUUUAUAAUCAUGCAUUUACUAUCACACCCAAGUUUUAUAUAUAUAGGGUUGUUUAAAAUUUGAAUAAUUCCAAUAAAAAAAUGAUUUAUUGUUAGUGAUUCGAUAACGGUGCGUGAGUAAUAAUUCGAUAAUUUUGUAGGUUCAUUAUGUUUUACUACUCAAGGUGUACAAUCAAAGCAUAAUCAGGUUGUUCCUUUCGUAUCAAACGCUAUUCUUACUUUACAAUUAAUCUUUCUAACAUCAUGUGCUACUAAUACUUUUCUAAACUGGUAGAUUAUAUCUAAUUUAAUCAGGCACAAAUUACUUGACAAUAUGAUGGUUCUUUGUUUCUUUCUGUUUAAUGCCCCUAGUAUUCUGAAUUCAGUAAAAACUUAACACAAGUAUCAAAGAACAUAUAUAUGCAUGUUCUUAUGCUAUGCACAUAGAGAAGACCAAGGCCCUUGAAAUUAAAAGGUUCACAUGUACUAGCACAAAAAAUGAACAGUUGUUUUUAUUAUUACAGGCAAAGACACAAUGUUGAUGACAUAUUGAUUAAAAAACAAAGCUGAAUAAGAGAGCCUUUGGAUAAUUAGCUAUCUCCUUAAAAGACAAGAUUUCAUUUCCUAUCAUUAUUGUUGGGAAGAUAGCAAUAGUCACAAUACAGAGCCACCUGAUUGAUCUCACAGCAUAAGCUGCGAAAUUUAGAGCCGGGACGAUUCAAUAGGAUGAUACAUGACAAUGUUAUUAUAGGCAUCAAGAGUCAGAAAAUCAUCCAAGACUGGUGCAGUGCACUGCCUUAUGAAUAAUUUGCAGGCCUCCUUAUACAUUCCCUUCUUGAAUUUCUCCUUUCCAACUUCUCUCUCAAUCCUAGCCAUUUCUUCUUCAACCACUCUUCCAAAUAGGUCUAAGUUCACUUUCACCCCAAGUCCAUCUCCAUCCAAUUCCACUCCAUAUUUCAGCCACUGCCAAUUCUGAACUCGGCUAAUCUCAGCUGUGGCAGCAUCCUCCAUGAGGUUGUAAAGUGGAACAGAGCCAGCCCCUGUCAGCCAAGCUGCCAAGUACUGAAUUCCCACUCGGGUGUUCAGCCGAAGGCCUUCCAUGGUUCGAACCCCUCUUGGACUCUGCAGAAGGUCUUCUUCAAUUAGUUUGGAUGCAUCUUGGCGCUUCAUGGAAUGGAUUUGAUUUGGAGCAUUGACCAUGUUGUUGGUAAAAACUUCCAUGCAGGCUGGAAUUAGGCCAGGGUGAGCUGCCCAUGUUCCAUCAUGCCCUGCCUUCACUUCUCUCAGCUUAUCUUUCCUUACAAGUUCCAAUGCUGCCUCGUUAGCUUCCGGAUCAUCUCUGAUUGGAAUUUGAGCUGCCUGUUUUAAGGGUACAACAAAGCCAUUAUGCAUCAAAUUGAUCAUGUAACAAAAUGACUCCAAAUUAACCUAAUGCAUGCUAAUGCUUCCUUGUCCAUUUAGUUGGCACUUAUGUCAUUUUAUUGAGAUCAUAGUCUUAGUAGUAAAAAUAUGUAAAGUUAAUAGCUAAUCCAUAAAUAUUGCCUUAGUUCGGGGUGGUUUCUAUAACUCAGAAACAUAAAGUUGGCAUCGUUAGUAAUCACAAUUUCACAGAUCAACAUGCCGUGGUGAACUAAAAAGAACAUAAGAUGGGAAAAAGGAGUUGAUAUUGGCAUACCAUGCCUCCCAUUGCAUGGACACCACGCUUAUGACAGGUGUGGAUGAGCAAAUCAGAGUAACUCCUCAUAAAGUGUUGAGCCAUGCCAACUUGAACUCUAUCAGGGAGCAAUCGAUCAGGGUGACCCUGGAAAGUCUUGACGUAGCUGAAAAUGUAAUCCCAUCUACCACAGUUGAGGCCAACAGAAUGGUCCCUCAGUUCAUACAAGAUUUCAUUCAUCUGAAACACUGCUGGAAGUGUUUCAAUCAGGACAGUGGCCCUAAUGCUUCCUUUCUCAAUUCCAGCCCAUCUCUCUGCCCUCUCAAACACAUUGUUCCAUAUUCUAGCUUCCCUGUCCAAACAAAACAAGAAUUGCUAAGGUCUCUUGGAAUAUAAUUCUCAAAGUUACUCAAAUUAACUAACAAGAACACAACUAACCUAAAAUGUUCCAUUUUGGGAAGAUAGAAAAAGGGUCCAAAUCCUUGUCCUUGGGCCUUGCGGAAGUUGGCAUAGUUGUGGAAAAAGUAGAGGCCAAAGUCGACAAG
rnacentral:lncRNA from 1 species